rnacentral:sRNA from 1 species
CACACCAGUUAUUAUUUUAGAAUAAAACCAUGAAACAUUGGAUAGGAAAAAAAUCGUAAAACCAAACACAUUUUUGACAUCCUGGGAAGUCAUUUUGGGUUUGUUUGUUUCUUUGUUUGUUUUGAUAACUCUAUACAACAGGGUCCCACUUAUAUCUGCCUUUACAUUUCUAAUGCUUGAACAAUAACAACUGGUUGUUGAAUUCAAGUUUCUCAGCUUUGCCAUCUCCAUCUUUUCCUAUGCCGCCCUUCCCCAUCAUCAAGCUAAGAGCCAUCCCCUUGGAUUUUGCGAUAAACCCCACUAACUCCAAACCGACCCGAGCCCGUGGGGCACUCUGUCCUUCUUGGUUUCUCCCUGUUCCCCGAAUUACUCCUUCACUCUACCGGAAUUCCCAGGGAGUAGGGACUUGGACUUGAGGACAGGGUUUGGUGUAGAACAGGUGCCCCAUAAACACAGCGGACCAAUCAGUGAGCUACUCACCACAUCCCCAGAGGGCAUGCGCUGUAGCUGGACUUUCUCGGGGCUGCCUGACUCUGUUCUGUGCCUCUGAGCUUGGGUCCUCCCACUCACAGCUCUGGGACCUCUGCUUCCAUCUCAUCUACCCAUUCCCCAGAGCUAGGUCACCACCCAACCUGCUCUGCUCCUGAGAUCUUCUCUGGGGACUUUGGGUCCUUCUACCACUCCUCAUCGUGCCCUGUGCUUUUUACUUUUCUUCUGCUGUAUCAGCCCCGCUGUUGUGGGUCCCACCCUCCCUUCCCUGAGCCAGGCUUUCUCCCGCUGCCCCAUUAUAUACACACACACAAAUCUAUUUUAGCUCCUACUACAGAGAGAAUCUCUUGUGUACUGUAUGGAUGCAGCACCUGUCAAUCAAAUGCCGAUUGGCCUAUAACCUAGGCAGGAAAUAGAAGGCGGGACAUGUCGUAGGGAGAUUCUGGAUAGACAGUAGGUGGAGGAUUUGCCUGAAACCAUGGAGGAGGACAGAAGCAUGGGGCUAAGCAGAGCUAUUAGAUGGUGUGGAGGUGUCCCGGGGCCUGUGGUCGAGUAGCAAUCUACCUCACUUCGUGUUGUCACCUAAGCACGUUGCCAUCAACUCAUCGUGACAGUGGUGAGUACAGUAUAACAAGGUUCUGAAACAUGCACAGGAAAGAGACCACUCAUUUACCUAACUUUUAUUACAACACAUAGUUAAUAUACACACAUGUGUGUUUAGGUCCUAGUUAUUCAUGCUUCCAGCCAACUACUAGGGGCAGGGGCUUUGGUCUAUAUUUCCCACAGAAGGCAGGGCAGUCUAUAUUACCUGCAUCCCAUAUAUAAUCAACUGGUGAAUUGAAAGAUAGAGCAAUAGAGUUGAGUGUAGGAAGCUGCUGUUCCCCGCUCAAAUGUGGU